UAGGGAAUCUUCGGCAAUGGACGAAAGUCUGACCGAGCAACGCCGCGUGAGUGAAGAAGGUUUUCGGAUCGUAAAACUCUGUUGUUAGAGAAGAACAAGGACGUUAGUAACUGAACGUCCCCUGACGGUAUCUAACCAGAAAGCCACGGCUAACUACGUGCCAGCAGCCGCGGUAAUACGUAGGUGGCAAGCGUUGUCCGGAUUUAUUGGGCGUAAAGCGAGCGCAGGCGGUUUCUUAAGUCUGAUGUGAAAGCCCCCGGCUCAACCGGGGAGGGUCAUUGGAAACUGGGGGACUAGAGUGCAGAAGAGGAGAGUGGAAUUCCAUGUGUAGCGGUGAAAUGCGUAGAUAUAUGGAGGAACACCAGUGGCGAAGGCGGCUCUCUGGUCUGUAACUGACGCUGAGGCUCGAAAGCGUGGGGAGCAAACAGG
rnacentral:rRNA from 1 species